GGCAGAUAAGAGAAGAAACGCAGGCUGCGCGAGGUAGUAGUGGUAAUCAGUGGGGUAUGUUUCUAGGGUGUGCAAGGCUUUGGUCUUUCGCUCUUUGCAGUAAGUGUUGUUGCUGCUUUCUGUUUGGGUUCAUGCUGCUUUUAUGAGAUGUAACACCGUGAAGGUGUGCAGCUUCAUUCCUGAAGCCAGUGAGACCACAAACCCAUCGGGAGAAACGAGCAACUCCAGACAUGCCGCCUAAAGAGCUGUAACACUCACCGCGAAGGUCUGCAGCUUCCCUCCUGAUGUAACAAGAUCACGAACCCACCAGAAGGAAGAAACUCCGAACACAUCCGAAUAUCAGAGGGGACAAACUCUGAACACGCCGCCUUUAAGAACUGUAACAACGGGAGGGUCCGUGGCUUCAUUGUUGAAGUCAGACCAAGAACCCACCAAUUCCGGACACAGAAGCACACAUUUACAAACAACAAACAUGUUCAUUAUAAAUUGUAACAUCUAUACCUGUGCGUGAUGAAGCAACUACAGGAAAACCUCCGAUUAGUAACCAAGGUUUGCUCACUCCAGCAACUUGAAAUUGAGCAUUUUAUAGCAGCAGGUGACUUCAGAGACUGGCCAAGCAAAAACCUCAUCUAAUAGGUGUGGUGGUGUGCCUGUAGUCCCAGCCU
rnacentral:lncRNA from 10 species